AGUGCUUUUCUAUUUGCUGUUCAGUGUUUCAGAGGAUUAAUAAUAGUAAUACUUUUGCAUUUUCUAACUAUCUGAGUUGCCUCAAGUGCUGUGGGACUUGAACAUAAUUCUUCUCUGUUCUAACUUUGAGCAUUUGUACUUUUGGAGAUGGAAGCUACAGACUCUUAAGUCCAGCAAGAACUUCCCAGAAGAGGAGUCCAGAUUUUCAGAAAAGCAGUGUUUGGAAAAUAAUGAGGCUUUGACUUUCCUAGGUUGCCACACAUGGCACAUUCAGCAGCUCUGUCCUGCUUCCAGGUGAGACAAAUCCCAGA